CUGUGAGGUCUCUUCACCAGGUGAGGAAGAUCCCAUGCCCUAUUAAUGCUGACUUCAUGAAGAAACAACUUGAGAAGCUGGAUACCUUCAAGUCAGUCAGCCCCGACAAUCUACACCCCAGGGUAUUCAAGAAACU